ensembl:lncRNA
GGAACCAAAAAAGCUGUAGCCACAUCCCCCACAAGCACAGACUUAACCAGUGAUGCAACAGACAGCCCAAUCACUGAUACUGCUGCAGUAACAAGCAUUUCAUCUGAGAAUAUAACUACACCAUUCGCAAACAAUGCCACAACCUCACUGCUGUCAACGCAUGAUGCUAGUAAUGUCCCAUCUCCACCUUUAUCUACUCAAGGCGACGUGACAAGCUUAUCUACAGUUGUACCAGAAAAUUCUACCAGUUCAUCAGCGAUUACACCAGGAAAUGCCACAGCUUCACCUGCACCUCUAACAACAGAAGCCAGCACCACAAGUCCACUUGUGCCUACACCAGAGAAUGCUACAAACCAUCCUGUAACUUCACCAGACAAUGACACAACUGGUUCUUUACCUGAGCCAGGCAACAGCACAACCCCACUCCAAACUACAAGAAGCAAUGACACUCCUCCUUCCAUUAGCACACCAAGCAACAGUACAGCUUCACCAAUUACAACACCAAGCAAUGUCACAAUUACAACACAGACUACACCAAUUAAUGCUACAACAGCAAACCAUGCCACAACUCCACCCUUAACCACAUAUAUUUCAAAUCAAAAUACACCAGGGAAUAAUGCAACGGUAAAUGCUACCAUACCACCUUUGACUACACCAGUUGAUGCAACUGCACCACCUCCAACUACAACAGGGAACAAUGCAAUAGUAAACGCUACCACACCACCCACAACUACACAAGAAAAUAAUGCAACAGUAAACAUUACUACACCACCCAUGAUUACACCAGGAAAUAAUGCAACAGUAGACAGUACCACACCACCCAUAACUACACCAGUAAAUGCAACUGCACCAACUCCAGCUACAACAGGGAACAAUUCAAUAGUAAACGCUACCACACCACCUAUAACUACACAAGAAAAUAAUGCAACAGUAAACAUUACUACACCACCCAUGACUACACCAGGAAAUAAUGCAACAGUAGAGAGUACCACACCACCCAUAACUACACCAAUAAAUGGAACUGCACCACCUCUAACUACACCAGGGAACAAUGCAACAGUAAAUAAUAGCACACUGCCCAUAACUACACCAGAGAAUAAUGCAACAGUAAACGUUACCACACCACCCAUAACUACACCAGUAAAUGCUACUACACCACCUCUAACUACCCCAGGGAACAAUGCAACAGUAAAUAAUAGCACACUGCCCAUAACUACACCAGAGAAUAAUGCAACAGUAAACGUUACCACACCGCCCAUGACUACACCAUUAAUUACUACUAUACCACCUUUAACUACACCAGGGAAUAAUGCAUCAGUAAAUGGCACCACACCACCCAUAACUACACUUGAGAAUAAUGCAACAGUAAACAUUACCACAACACCCAUGAC